CUCACGUUGCCGCAUACACCGAUGAGGGGGAGCUGUGCAGUGCAGACACGGAAACAUACAUCUACAUGUUUGUUAUUUGUUUCCUGCAGGCCAAUAAAACGAGAAGAUAAAAGUCCAAGCUGGCUUCAGUAGUUUCGUACGGUCAGGGGGAGAGGCUGCAAUGAAGAGCGUUACACUAACGGGUUCACUGAAGAAAUGGAACUGAUGGUCACACAGAUUUAUGGAGGCAGACAUCCAAACCUAGAUUGGACCUCCAGGAGAGACGAGUGUGGCCACUGGGACGUGCGCAUUUAUGGACUUAAAGGUGCCCCAACCAACCUUCUUAUCAAGCCUCUCUUCCACCGCUACCACCUCUUAGCAAGCCUCUGGUGGGACGGGUUCAUCCUCUGUGCUGAGACUUAAUUAUGAUAUGCCACAGCAACGUCAGCCCCAAGUAUUGGCUGAGGUGGAGUCAACUUUAGCAGCCGUGAUGCAGCAUCGUAAUGCACAGUACGUAAGUCUUGUUUGUGUGUGUAUGUACUUGUAACAGUAUAUUGUUCAUAUGUUGCGUUUGUUUUCUAGAAAGUCUGUCAUUUACCAGUUUGAAACGGCACUGGGUUCAUUCCAUUAACUGGCGUAGGACCACGUGGUGUCACAUGCUUUUAUUGCCAGAUCUACCUAAGCCAUGCACAUGUUGGAUUAUUUGUUGCACAUGCAGCCCAGCUCCAGUCAGUCUGUGAAGAUGUCAUGGUCAGUUCUUUACAGGUCUGUGUGGUAGUUGGUUUGUUUAGGCUAUAGACUUGUUCACAUUUGUGUCACGGUGGACAUGAGUGAAAGACUCAACGCUGAUAAUAUUUCAUCUUCUAUAUUUGCAUAAAUCAAAUUUAAAACCCUUGUUUUUUUUCACCCCAAUGGUUGGUGUCAGCACAACAGAGCUAAGAUUUGACAUUUACUUGGUUUAUUUUCUAGUUCAUUAACUCUGAAAACAUUUAAAAAUCACACUCCUGCUGUGGACCCGUUUUUGUGGGGAGUACCAAGAUCAUAAGGCGCAUAAACCAACCUCAUGUUAAGCCAACACCUCCGUCUCUUGCAGAGGAGCUCAGCAAUGGGGAAAUCUACAGGUCAGCAAGAAAGCAAAAAGCUCAGUCCCAGCCAUCAUGUUGUGAAGACUUACUUUGGAACAUUUAAGAUGCUGCGUUGUGUCCUUUCUUUCUUCCAGAUACUGCGCCCUACAGAACCUCGCAGCGCAGAUGAAGGCACUCCCUAAAAGUUGUGGGCUGUGAGCUGCCACCUACUCGGGAUUUGCUGGUUAUAGACGGACAUGGAUCUUACUCUGCAGCUUGCAUUAUUACACGCCAAGUGUGUGUUUCACUGUUUGAUAAAGGGAAGGGAACAAACUCAAUACUUGGUGGAGAGAAAACGU
rnacentral:lncRNA from 1 species